AGUGUGAGACAUUCCAGCCAAUGAGACCCACAGGCUUUGGAGGCGAUGGGUCCACCUGUGAGUGGAGUACAGAACGUGGGGGAACAGCUUCCCAGGAGUCUGGGGCUCAACCUCUCCAGGAGGCCCUGAAGGUGGCCUGAGAAAGUUCUGCCUCUCGGGGGGGCAGCGUGGAGCACAGGAGCCGCAGUGAGUCCUGCCUGGCUCUAAGCACCACUUUCCAAGCAUGCAGCUUUGGCAGUUUCUUGGCACGCUGGCUGAAGACAUGUUGCCCACAAGCUGAGGGAGGUCCUUACCCGUGGACGCCAAGCUCCGGGAGGCUGCAGUGGCGGCAGCUGAGUCUGCAGGUGGAGAGGUGCAGGGACUGUUUUGCCUCCACCUCCUUCAAUACCUACUUUUCUUUCCAGCAACAGUCCCUUCCCUUACGCUCCCGAAUCCACCCUGGCCCUGAGGCUGCACCUGAGUACCACAUCCUGACCCCACUUGUUUGCAAGACGUCUGCAUGUCCACAAGUGCAGCGUUCAUCUCAUCUCAACAAGCGAUCCCUCCGGAGCAGACGGGUGAUCCCUACCACCUUCUGAACACUCCUACUCAUCAUCUCGGUAACACCCUCUACCUGUUCCAUACCUAGGCCAGAGGUUUUCACCCCGGCCACACGUCAGUACCACUUAGGAAGUUAAAAAAAAAAAAACUAUGCCAAUGCAAGCCAAUGACAGAAAAAAAUCAAUUACCCGAUUUUAAAAUAGGCAAAGAACCUCAAUAGACAUUUGUAGCAAGAAGGUCUAAUAAGGAGAUGAAAAGUGCUCAAAUUAAAACCACAAUGAGGCCAGGCACAGCAGCUCACAGCUGUAAUCCCAGCACUUAGGGAGGUCAACGUAGGAGGAUCACUUGAGUUCAAUACCAGCCUGAGCAACCUAAUGAGACCCUCCCUCUCCAAAAAAAGUUGUCUUUUUUUUUUUUUUUUUUUAAUUAGCCAGGCAUGGUGGUGCACGCCUGUGAUCCCAGCUACUGGGGAGACUGAGGUGGGAGGAUCGCUUGAGCCCAGGAGGUCGAAGCUGCAGUGAGGUAUGGUUGUGCCACUGCACUCCAGCCUGGGUAAGAGAGCGAGGUGCUGUCUCUAAAAAACAACAACAAAACCCCACAAUGAGAUACUACCUACACGGAGCAGGAUGGCUGCUACCAAAACACUAGACAGUGCCAAGUGCCGGUGAGGACGUGGGGAACCAGAGCCCCAGUUACCCGGGGAGGACGCGGGGAGCCGGAACCCCAGUUACCCGGUGAGGACGUGGGGAACCGGAACCCCAGUUACCCGGGGAGGACGUGGGGAGCCGGAACCCCAGUUACCCGGUGAGGACGUGGGGAACCGGAGCCCUGUGCACUGUUGGUGCAAGUGUGAAACGACACGGCUGCUAUGGAGACAGCACGGAGGUUCCUCAGAGAAUUAAACAUAGGUAUGACCCAGCACAGGAUCCAGCAGUGCCACCUCUGGGCGCGCAUCCAAAAGACACGAACUCAGUACGUGGAGGAGACGUCAGCACACGAUCACCGCCGCCAGCAUUCACAGCGGCCUACGGCAGACGCCCAAGAGUCCAUCACAGGUGAACGGACAAGAAAAACGUGGUGUAUACACACAACAGAACGUGAUUCCGCCACAAAACGACACAGGAUGAGUCCACUGAAAUGACGUAUCUAAAGUGGUCAAAAUCACAGACAGAGAAAGCAGAACGGUGGUCACCAGGGCCUGGGGGAGGGGAGGUGGGGACACCUAGUUUAACGGCCCAGAGGCUGAGUUUUGCAAGACGGAGAAUUUCUGGAGUUCCGCUGCACGACAAUGUGGAGGUGCUCAAUACUGCUGAACUGUACACUUAACAUGGCUAUGAUGGUCAGUUCCAUGCAUGCUUUUUUUACAAUUCAAAACUUUAGAAAAUUAUUUAAAACAUAACAAUACCAAGCCUGGGUCCUGCCUCUCACCGCUCCUAAUCUUUUUGUUUUAUGCUUCUCGAUGAUCCUUUUGUUUUUUUGGCUUUCCUCACUCAUUCUCAUAUGAUUCUAAUAUAUAGCUGUGAGGAGGAACACCUACAAAUUAUAAACUAAAAUUUGAAACUGUCUCUGAUUAGGGGAUGUAUAUUUAUUGUGCAUCCUUUUAUUCUCUUCAUACUAGGGUACACAGUAAGAGCUUAGUACUCACUAAACAUUCACAUUAUUACCAACUGAAUAAAAGAAUGAAUGAUUA
rnacentral:lncRNA from 10 species